UACGUAGGGCGCAAGCGUUAUCCGGAAUUAUUGGGCGUAAAGAGCUCGUAGGCGGUUUGUCGCGUCUGCCGUGAAAGUCCGGGGCUCAACUCCGGAUCUGCGGUGGGUACGGGCAGACUAGAGUGAUGUAGGGGAGACUGGAAUUCCUGGUGUAGCGGUGAAAUGCGCAGAUAUCAGGAGGAACACCGAUGGCGAAGGCAGGU
rnacentral:rRNA from 1 species